ACGAAAGAUAUAGUUACUUGUACGCUAAUUUAACAGUUAUAGAAAAAAGUGCCACACGCAACUACAAUUUCACAGCGCUUUGGGAUGUAGUUCACUUUGGCAAAUAGUAGGGUACAUGACCUUACUUCGUAUAGGUCUUAUCAUUAAUGAUAUCGAAGUGUCAGUAUGUACGGCAAACUAAAGUACAUAAAUUAAGGCAACACAAUACAUGUGACAAAGUCACCAACAUACGUAUUAGUGUGUGAAUAUGCUACAGUCAUCUGUGGAACUGAGCCUACUGGAAAGUAUUUACAGUGAAGAUGUGGCAUUUGACAGGGAGCCAGAUAAUCUCAGAUACAUGACUAAGAUAGUUCCUCGUCUGAAACUUGGCCAUGGACUGACUGUCUCGUGACCAAAAAUCGGGCCCAUAUAUAUCCUCACAAUAAUAGGUGCUGAAACUACACAUUGUUCAAAGUUUAAUUUACAGAAAUUACAAUUUAAACUUAACUCAUUAAAUUAACUGAA